rnacentral:rRNA from 1 species
CGCGUAGGCGGUCUGCUAAGUUGGAUGUGAAAACUCUGGGCUUAACCCAGAGCCUGCAUUCAAAACUGACAGGCUAGAGUUCUGGAGGGGGAAGCGGAAUUCCUGGUGUAGCGGUGAAAUGCGUAGAUAUCAGGAGGAACACCGGUGGCGAAGGCGGCUUCCUGGACAGAAACUGACGCUGAGGCGCGAAAGCUAGGGGAGCAAACA